rfam:Beta vulgaris subsp. vulgaris chromosome 5, whole genome shotgun sequence.
GGGCAUUUGGUCUAGUGGUACUAUUCUCGCUUUGGGUGCGAGAGGGCCAAGAGUUCAAUUCUCGGAAUGCCCC